AGAAGCUAAGGAAUUCGGACUCGGUUCAUUUCCGAUCCAGAAGCACAGGCGACAGUUUGCAAUGUUUUUCUUCUCAUUCAGGAACCUUAUCACACCGGAAGACCAUUUCCCUGAUAUAGGUGCUUCUGUAUUCUGAAAAUUCUGAACUCAGGACUUGGCAAAUUCUACACAGAGAUGCCCCUUGAAUCUAAUUGUCUUGCUGACCUUCCUGGAAGAAAUAAAGCAGCUGAUGUGGGUCUUCCAAUUCAGUUUGAUUAGUUGUAAAGAGAUGAUUUUGCAAGCUUGAAAACAGAUUUGGCCAGUUGUUCUACCAUAUCUCAUAAAGCACAUUUGAGACUACAACAGUAAGUUCCAGAUAUUGUCUGUAAUUUGAAAUGAAAAAGAUGCUAAAAAGUUACAUAUUU